UAAAAUUCUCUUGGUCGUGGACACCCAGUCGCUGGUAAUGAUAUAUAAGGCUUCGAUCGCGCGGUUAACUGCAGAAGGUAGUCGACUGUCGAUCGUCACAUACACCCACACGUAACCGGGAAACACUUGACUCAUAAUGAUGUCCUGCAAACUUUUGCUUUUGGCCAUGUUAGUGGGGACUGCGCUAGCUGCCGCUAACCCAUGGGCCCUGCCUUCUCUACCACCCCCUCCCGUCGGGAAGUGUGACAAUUGGUGUGGAACUCCCCCGAACCUUGUCUGCUGUGACAAGAAGUGUCCCGUUGAUACACGCCCACCUGGUGACUGCAACAGGCCUGGAGCGGCAGGUUUCGGCGGCGUUUCGGGUCCCAGGCGUUGCACAAAAGACUUAGACUGCCACGGAGGGGCUCUUUGUUGCUGGGACAGUUGCCUCCGCUACAAGAAAUGCACCAACGUCUGAGUGUAAACUGCUGUGCCUUCGACAUCACCUCCAGAACAUCAUUUCCCUUCACUGAUGUUCAGGGUGAAGCGAGAGUUAAGGCCUUCCCUGCUCGCAGAUUCAUUUCCUGUGGCUAAAAGUAAUGAUAUGCUGGCAAUGUUAACCUGUCAUGUGUGUUGUCUUUUUCCUUAUUAAAAUGAAACUGUGUAAAUGUUGAUCUGCAGUAAAUUUUUGGCCAAA